CAUCACGCCGCGUGAGGAUGAAGGCUUCGGGUUGUAAACCUCUUUUAGUAGGGAAGAAGCGAAGUGACGGUACCUACAGAAAAAGCACCGGCUAACUACGUGCCAGCAGCCGCGGUAAUACGUAGGGUGCAAGCGUUGUCCGGAAUUAUUGGGCGUAAAGAGCUCGUAGGCGGUUUGUCGCGUCUGCUGUGAAAACCUGAGGCUCAACCUCAGACCUGCAGUGGGUACGGGCAAGCUAGAGUGCGGUAGGGGAGAUGGGAAUUCCUGGUGUAGCGGUGGAAUGCGCAGAUAUCAGGAGGAACACCGAUGGCGAAGGCACAUCUCUGGGCCGUAACUGACGCUGAGGAGCGAAAGCGUGGGGAGCGAACAGGAUUAGAUACCCUGGUAGUCCACGCCGUAAACGGUGGGUGCUAGUUGUGGGUCACAUUCCACGUGAUCCGUGACGAAGUUAACACAUUAAGCACCCCGCCUGGGGAGUACGGUCGCAAGACUAAAACUCAAAGAAAUUGACGGGGGCCCGCACAAGCGGCGGAGCAUGCGGAUUAAUUCGAUGCAACGCGAAGAACCUUACCAAGGCUUGACAUAUAGAGGAAAAGCGUAGAAAUACGCUCCCCGCAAAGUCUCUAUACAGGUGGUGC
rnacentral:rRNA from 1 species